UACGAAGGGGGCUAGCGUUGCUCGGAAUUACUGGGCGUAAAGGGCGCGUAGGCGGAUGUUUAAGUCAGCGGUGAAAGCCCAGGGCUCAACCUUGGAACUGCCAUUGAUACUCUCUGUCUUGAAUAUGGUGGAGGUAAGCGGAAUAUGUCAUGUAGCGGUGAAAUGCUUAGAGAUGACAUAGAACACCUAUUGCGAAGGCAGCUUACUACGCCUAUAUUGACGCUGAGGCACGAAAGCGUGGGGAUCAAACAGG
rnacentral:rRNA from 1 species